CCGCGCCCGCCACCUGAGAGCCAAGGUUUUCUGGUCUGUGCGAAUUGAAUCUGGUCGUGCCGCUGGCCCCUGGGCCACCGCCAUGCGCAUCAGAGAUACCGACGGUCUAAAGCGUCCGUGCAGGUCUCGCGCAGUUUCCGAGCUGAGCAAUCGGUCCGGCGACGUAGAUAGCACGAUAGGUCG
rnacentral:sRNA from 16 species